rnacentral:rRNA from 1 species
AUUGAACGCUGGCGGCAAGCCUAACACAUGCAAGUCGAACGAGCGGCGGACGGGUGAGUAAUGUCUGGGAAACUGCCUGAUGGAGGGGGAUAACUACUGGAAACGGUAGCUAAUACCGCAUACCAUCGGAUGUGCCCAGAUGGGAUUAGCUAGUAGGUGGGGGAAUGGCUCACCUAGGCGACGAUCCCUAGCUGGUCUGAGAGGAUGACCAGCCACACUGGAACGUAGACACGGUCCAGAAGCCUACGGGAGGCAGCAGUGGGGAAUAUGGCACAAUGGGCGCAAGCCGGAGGCAGCCAUGCCGCGUGUAUGAAGAAGGCCUUCGGGUUGUAAAGUACUUUCAGCGGGGAGGCGGUACCCGCAGAAGAAGCACCGGCUAACUCCGUGCCAGCAGCCGCGGUAAUAC